rnacentral:rRNA from 1 species
ACUUUCAACAACGGAUCUCUUGGUUCUGGCAUCGAUGAAGAACGCAGCGAACUGCGAUAAGUAAUGCGAAUUGCAGAAUUCAGCGAGUCAUCGAAUCUUUGAACGCACAUUGCGCCCGCCAGCAUUCUGGCGGGCAUGCCUGUCCGAGCGUCAUUUCCU